rnacentral:rRNA from 1 species
GUAGCACAGAGAGCUUGCUCUCGGGUGACGAGCGGCGGACGGGUGAGUAAUGUCUGGGAAACUGCCUGAUGGAGGGGGAUAACUACUGGAAACGGUAGCUAAUACCGCAUAACGUCUCAAGACCAAAGUGGGGGACCUUCGGGCCUCAUGCCAUCACAUGUGCCCAGAUGGGAUUAGCUGGUAGGUGGGGUAACGGCUCACCUAGGCGACGAUCCCUAGCUGGUCUGACAGGAUGACCAGCCACACUGGAACUGAGACACGGUCCAGACUCCUACGGGAGGCAGCAGUGGGGAAUAUUGCACAAUGGGCGCAAGCCUGAUGCAGCCAUGCCGCGUGUGUGAAGAAGGCCUUCGGGUUGUAAAGCACUUUCAGCGGGGAGGAAGGCGGUAAGGUU